rnacentral:rRNA from 1 species
GAACCGUCCAAACGUUAUUCGGAAUCACUGGGCUUAAAGGGUGCGUAGGCGGCCCGGGCAAGUUGGGGGUGUGAAAUCCCUCGGGCUCAACCGAGGAAUAGCGCCCAAAACUGCCGGACUUGAGGGAGACAGAGGUGAGUGGAACUAUGGGUGGAGCGGUGAAAUGCGUUGAUAUCCGUAGGAACACCGAUGGCGAAAGCGGCUCACUGGGUCUCUUCUGACGCUGAGGCACGAAAGCUAGGGGAGCGAACGGGAUUAGAUACCCCGGUAGUCCUAGCUGUAAACGGUGAGCACUAGAUCGUAGAGAUUUCCAUGUCUUUACGGUCGAACUGAAAAGGUUAAGUGCUCCGCCUGGGGAGUAUGGCCGCAAAGGCUG